CCCUUAGAUGUUCUGGGCCGCACGCGCGCUACACUGAUGAACGCAACGAGACCACCUGUACCGAAAGGCAUGGGUAAACUUGUGAAAGUUCAUCGUGAUGGGGAUAGAUUAUUGCAAUUAUUAAUCUUCAACGAGGAAUUCCUAGUAAGCGCGAGUCAUCAGCUCGCGUUGAUUACGUCCCUGCCAUUUGUACACACCGCCCGUCGCUCCUACCGAUUGAAUGGUCCGGUGAAAUCUUCGGAUUGCUGGAUAGGACUUCAUUGACCUAUCUGCGAGAAGUUGCUUGAACCUUAUCAUUUAGAGGAAGGAGAAGUCGUAACA
rnacentral:rRNA from 1 species